GGGAGAUCCAAAGUCUUUCACCAGGGUUCCUGAAGGACCAGAAUAUCUGAAUACCGCCCAGAACUCGCUACCUUUGGCUGCAGGUGACAGCCUCGACAACCCGGACUACCAAGCCGGCUUCCUGCCACAGGCCGCACCCCCCGCUGUCAAUAACACGGCUUUAACGGGGAACGGUCUUUUCCUCCCUGCAGCAGAGAACCUGGAAUAUUUGGGUUUUGGAGCUGCACUGCACGCUCCUGUCCGCUAGAGGGCAGCAGCAUUCAGGAACCUUAAACUGAAGCCGUAAGGCCCUGCGGACACUUUGAUUUAGACUGACGACAGUAUUUAAUUUAUCUGUUUUUACUCUGAAGUGUCCCAGACUGCAUCUCAGCAGCACUCAGACUGAGGAAGAGGAGACGUCCCGACUUCAGGUGAUACAGGAAAACACAAAGAUCUGGACAAAGGCAGCAUGAUGACACCAAACAGGCACUGAAGCACGUUCACAGGCACUGUCCUAAACCCACUUUGUCUUCUUUUUGCACCGGCCCUCGCAGACGUUUGCUGGUUAACUCCAAAAAGAAAAUGACAUCCAAGUUUUCUUUGAAGGGGCGGCUGAGGAGAAACGAGAGUCCAGUCUCCCUUUUUACCUGGAUGAAGAGAACCUACACAGACAUCUAACCUUAAAGGAUCUCUUCUUCUAAAAACCAUCGUCAAAAAUUAUAACUUUGUCAUCUUAAAGCUGCAGGUGGGAAGAAGAUCUGAAGGACAAAAUGAUUAACUCCUUCAUGCAUCAGGUAUCUGACACGGUGGCGCCCUCUGCUGGAGAAAUGGAAGUCCUGCAGGUGAAAAACAAGCAUUUACUGACAGUAAACACUCUAAUGUAGCAACAAGAAAACGGAAGGGUUCUCCACGGUCUGUUUAUGACCCGUGUUUGUUCUAACUCCUCCUAUGAAGACAUUUUAUAUCACAUGAUAUUAAUAAACUAUCACCACUGGUUUUCUCUUAGGUCCUCACUUCAGCCAAAGCCUGAGACCUGUUGACAGUUUUUUAGAUGACUUGGAGUCGUGAUGGGGAACAGUUCUUCUGAGUGUCUGUAAAAAUGAGCCAAACUACAUUUACUGUCUCUGCACACUGACUCUUAUCUGCUGUUCAUGUCUGUUCAUGUCAUAAAGUCUGUUUAUGUUGUGAUGUGGCUGUUUGUUGUUGUUGUUGUUUGUUGUUGAUGAUGAUGGUGAAAUCCACUCCUCUGGUAUCAGGAUCAGCCAGUCUGCCCGGCUCACUCUGGUCCCGGUUUUCUGACACACGGUUUUGAGGACUAUCAAAUCCAGGUUACCAGAGCUCACUAUUCUUGAGAAAGACACAUAAAGAAAAUGAACAGAAACACCUGAAAGUCAUAAAUCUGACACAGAAAUAAACUCUGAGGAAAAUCAGUCCCACUGUCAAUAAACCUGAAUUUUCAGCCCCGUUAGCACCGAGCUUCAAACGAAGACCACAGAGGAUUUGUGUUGAAUGUCAGAAUGUUUUAACACGUAGCAUUUUAGGGUUCAAUGUUGUGAAAUCAAUGUAAUGUUAGCUGAAAAUCAACUGUUUGAGAUAAGGCAAACACGGCCCCAUUAAACAUGUUCCUGGUGUAUUUGUCGACACUGCAUGAAUUUCUGCAUAAUGUGAUAAAUGAUGAAGUUUUCGAGCAGGACUUUGGUUUGUCUGAACAAACUUUAUGUCUGUGUUACUUAAAAACAAGUUUCUUUAUUGGUUUUAAGGAGGAAAAUGUUGAUAACACAAUUUUUUCAUUCAAACAAAAUGUUGCUUCACUUCUCACUUUGGCUUCUUUUGUAUUUCUCAAAGUGCAGAUAUCACAACAAACCAUGAACACACAAGUUACAUUAACGUUACUUGUGUGUUCACGGUUUGUCUUUAGGAUCUGGAGAAAAAACAGGUUUGAAGAUAAAAUCACCAAAAUCUAAUAAACCUGAAAGUGACCCUCAUCAUCAGACAUUAGAGAAAUAAUCUGUUCAAUAUACAACAAAAACAUUUUCUUAAUCAUUGUUCACAUGGACAGAACGCAAACACACAAAGAUUCAGACUCUCAGUAAAUUCAACAGUUAAAACUGAAGGAUUAUGGCAAAAAUCAC